UAAGGAGGACCCCAGUAGCGUGAUGAGACUUGCUCUCUGAGCGUGAAGGGGUGGCACAAAAUUGAGGGAAGCGACUGUUUACCAAAAACACAGCAGCGUGCUAAGCCGUAAGGCGCUGUAUACGCUGUGACUCCUGCCCGGUGCUGGAAGGUUACGGGGAUGGGUUAGUCCUUCGGGACGAAGCUCUGAACCUAAGCCCCAGUAAACGGCGGCCGUAACUAUAACGGUCCUAAGGUAGCGAAAUUCCUUGUCGGGUAAGUUCCGACCUGCACGAAUGGAGUAACGACUUCCCUACUGUCUCAACCAUAGACCCAGCGAAAUUGAAGUACGAGUAAAGAUGCUCGUUAGCUGCAGAAGGACGGAAAGACCCCGUGGACCUUUACUAUAACUUGAUGUUGUGUUUUGUCAUAUGUUGUGUAGGAUAGGUGGGAGACUUGGAAGCAUGGACGCUAGUCUGUGUGGAGUCAUCGUUGAAAUACCACCCUGCAUAUGGUGAGGCUCUAACCUAGACCCGUUAUCCGGGUUGGGGACAGCGUCAGGCGGGUAGUUUAACUGGGGCGGUUGCCUCCUAAAGAGUAACGGAGGCGCCCAAAGGUUCCCUCAGCCUGGUUGGCAAUCAGGCGUUGAGUGCAAUGGCAAAAGGGAGCUUGACUGCGAGACCUACAAGUCGAGCAGGAGCGAAAGCUGGGCAUAGUGAUCCGGCGGUUGCGUGUGGAAGCGCCGUCGCUCAACGGAUAAAAGGUACCCCGGGGAUAACAGGCUAAUCUUGCCCAAGCGUCCAUAGCGACGGCAAGGUUUGGCACCUCGAUGUCGGCUCAUCGCAUCCUGGGGCUGAAGCAGGUCCCAAGGGUUGGGCUGUUCGCCCAUUAAAGCGGUACGCGAGCUGGGUUCAGAACGUCGUGAGACAGUUCGGUCCCUAUCCUCUGCAGCCGGAGGUGAAUUGAGGAAAGCUGUCCCUAGUACGAGAGGACCGGGACGGACGCAGCUCUCGUGUGCCAGUUGUCCUGCCAAGGGCAUGGCUGGUUAGCGACCUGCGGAAAGGAUAACCGCUGAAAGCAUCUAAGCGGGAAGCCUCUUCCAAGAUGAAUUCACCCACAGGGUUAACCUGGUAAGGCCCGUGGUAGACCACCACGUUGAUAGGCCGGAAGUGUAAGCGUGGCAACACGUUCAGCUGACCGGUACUAAUCGGCCGAGGGCUUGAGUC
rnacentral:rRNA from 1 species